GGGACCGUGGUGUAGCGGUAAGUGUGAUUGUCUCUCACCCAGUCGGCCUGGGUUCGAUCCCAGACGGUCCCG
rnacentral:tRNA from 1 species